GAUGAUUGUGAUUCUGGUUCAUGUGUACUUGUUACCAUGACUAGAUCCACACUCAUCCA
rnacentral:pre_miRNA from 1 species